GGGGUUUAGCUACAGGCAUGGAUUCAGUGGCUUCUCGGCUCGACUAACAGAAGAACAAGCUGCUAGAAUCUCUGGCCUCCCCAACGUGUUGUCCGUUUUUCCCAAUGAAAUCCACACGGUCCAUACCACAAACUCAUGGGAGUUUCUCGGCCUCUAUUGGAAAGAACUCUUUCUUUGGAAGCUACUGAAUCAUCGUGGCUAUGGAAGGAAGCAAAAUAUUGCAAAGACGUUAUCAUUGGUGUUUUAGAUUCAGGUAUUUCCCUCUUUGAACUAUCUUUUGGGGAUUGGUCCCAUACCAUGAUCGGAAAAGCUUUCCGACUCUGGCCAUAGUCCUGGAAAAACCCAACGUGAUAAAAAAAGGAGCGGAAAGGAACUUGGGAGAAAUUCAACACUUCUCACUGCAACAAGUAAUUCAAGAAUCACAUAGUAUGCUAAACAUUUGUCUUUCAGGAAACUUAUCGGUGCCAGAUUCUUUUCCCACGGCCUCCAAGAUGGUCCCAAGGCUUAUGCAAAAGCACACCAAGAACUUCUUUCUCCAAGAGAUGUUGAAGGGCACCGAUUCGUAAAAAACACAACUGGCUUGGCCACGCAAAAGGUACUGCAAAGGGUGGCGCUCCACGCCUCGCAAUCUAUAAGAUGUGCUGGAGAAACAUUACGGACAGCAUAGUGCGGUGCCCGGGGUUCUCAUACUCUCAGCGCCUUUGAUAUGGGAAUCCACAAUGGCGUGGAUAUCUUUUGUGCGUCGAUCGAUGGACAGCAGCCACUGUCGAUUGGUGCGUUCCAUGACAUGCAGAAAGGCAUUGUGGUGGUGUCUUCGGCUGGAUAUUUGGGUCCUCGCUCGGUGCAAAAUGUAGCCCCUUGGGUUAUCGCUGUUGGAGCGAGCACUAUUGAUCAAACCUAUUUUGGAGACCUUUAUCUUGGCAACAAUAAAUCAUUUCGAGUA